GCUUUAAGUUGUACUAUUGAGACCAUACCACCAUAUCUUCAUUUAGUUUCUUUGGAAAUCUGAAGGUCUAAGAGGACGGUACAUGUGAGAAGCUGUGAAUCUACAACAAAAAACUAAACUAACUUCCAAACAAACAUUUCAAGUUUGGAAGCCACAAAGAAGCAGCCAAGAUCUCUCGUUGUAGUGCAGAUUCAAGAAAAUGGGCCGAAUGACCAUCACAACGACAUGUAGAAGCAGCAAAAAUAUAGGCUUGGUGUGUAACUGAUCAUGAAAGAUAGCCUGGUCAGUUUCUCCAUUGUUGGCUUAUACUGAGCAAGAAGAUCAGCCUGCAGAGAAGAAAAAUGAAGGACUGCUUUAUUCUGCGGUACAUCCACAAUAGUACAGACAAUAAAGUAGUUAAAUGUGUGCUAAGAUGUAAGACCUUUUAGAUCACUAUUUUAGUGAUCUAAAAGGUAAGCAGUGAUCUAAAAGAUCUUGUAUUAGUUUGAAAAGGGAGUACUUAAUAAGACUGUAAGUCAGUACAUCAAAGUAAUGCCGGCUUCCCAUUGAUUUGAUCAAACCAAUAUGACAAAGGGAAGGUGAAACUUCAGAAGACCAUAUAAAUUGACUGCGAUGUCUUAAUUAAAACUCUGAAAUGAAGUAAUAAACAUUAAGUCUGAAUGUUGUCACUAAAAAAGCAUAAAAAAGGCAGACCAGCCAGCGGUGCAUCAUAAUUAGUGGUUCAUCAUGGGCAAACCAGGCAGCAGUAGCCUAAUAACUUAGACGGAAAAAAUGCAAGAAGUCAAAGCACAAGGUGGGAAAUAGGACCGAGCAUUGACAGGUAACCAAAUAAUGAAGGAAUAUCCCCAGAGGAUGCAAGAGGUGAGAGAGGAGCAC
rnacentral:lncRNA from 1 species